rnacentral:lncRNA from 1 species
AUGACAUUUUGCUUAUUUUUCUUGCAGCUGGGCAGCCGAUUCAACACGGUAACGAGAACCUACACCUCAAGUGGCUCAUCACGUUCAUCUUAUAGUUCAGGCUUCACUCCGACAUCUUCCUCAGUCCUCUCUUUGAGAGACAAAUACAACUCGUUAAGUCGCAAUUCGACCAGUAGCGUCGGCACCUCGAGAACUGAACGAUCCUCCAGUCAGUAUGACUCCAAGUCUGGAUCAGACUCAUACUCCAGAUCGUACUCUACCUAUAAACCGUACGGAAGCACAUCCACCGAGAGUUCAACAAGAGCCUCGAGCUACACCCCCUAUAAAUCAUACAGUGCCGGUAGCUCCGAUUCUUCCUCCAAGUCUACUUACACACCUUGGACCAAAUCGUACCGAUCGUCCGUACCAGAAAAUACAUAUUCAUACCGUUCACGGUACAGUUCGAAACCGGAUGCGGAGGCAAGCACGGAAAAAUCAUCAACCUAUCGAUCAUCGUAUUCAAAACCAGAACCGGAAUCUAAUUCCUACACUAGCUCAAGCCGUGACGUAGAUUCUCGGCCUUCGUAUUCCAGGUUUAAAUCUGACCCCGAACCCACUCCUCGAAAGGAUGAACCUGAAGUGUUGAAACCUAGCUCUGAGUAUAAGCCCUCAUCCUAUUCCUCUAAAAAUGAGACUGAUACAUCAAGUGCUAAAGACUCUCUAAGUGUUUAUAGUAGGUACGGUCAUUAUGGAACAAGAAAAUCUCCUGUGCCCUCAGCAAGCGAAAAAUCAAAGGACGAGGUGAAAGUAAGUGUUACGACCCGAUAUACUUCGCCAACCCCUCCCUCUAAUUCCGCAUAUUUGAGGAACAGGAGAGCGGAAUUAGAGAGUAUUUAUCAAUGUGAAAUAGUCCGGAAAUCUUGCGUCUCGAAAACGGAUUGUCAGACACAAACGGACGAGAAUGACAUCUACGCAGCCAUGAAGUCCGAGUCGUCUGAGGGGGAGGAUAGUGAAGUUGCAGAACCACCUCUAGCUGCUAGUCGGUCACCGUUUCACAUCAGUAAAAGUGACGUUGACGUUAAUCAAAAUAUAAAAGAAUCUGAAGGCUUUAAUUAUGUUCGGCCAACCGACAUCUCUACAGAAACGGUGAUCACUGUUGACUCUUCGUCGGAUCCCGCUCGAGGUCUGCACCCCUCUACAGAAGAACCUCUCUUUGCCCCGUCCACAUUCCAAUACACUCCCAGUUACCCUAACCUCAAAAACUCGUCGACCGUCUCUUCGCAUCCGAAUUCUCUCAGUGCUUCGACGGCUAUUUUAAAUGUACCCAACAAGUCACCCACAUUCUCAGAAAGUGAUGUUUCUGACAAGCGAUCUAGUCCUGAUAGAUCCCUGAGCGCAGGAAAAGCAAUAUUGAGCCCCGAGAACACAUCUGAAGACAGUAAAAAUAGUGCAGCGUCGAAAGAAGGAUAUAAGUCUAGUUCCUCUCCAUCUUUUGGACUGGAAAAAGCUGCACCAAAUCAAAAAUGCUCUCUUAAAUUGUCAAGUCCAGCACGGUCUCCCAGUCCUAACUCACGUUUAUCAAGAUCUCGGAGCCCCACUCCUAGUUACAGUUUUACAAUUUCCCCACGACAUCACCAAACUAGAAGCAAGGACAGUAGCGCAAGUCAAACGAAUGAGUCCAGUGUCGCUCAGCCUGCAAUAUUAGACAAAUCAUCAAGCUACCACCUGAAUAUACCCAGUGCAUUCCAAUUAAAUUUAGAAAAGAAAAUGUCUGACCCAUCGCGAUCUCUAAGUCGAAGUCCUUCUCCUUCACCGGCCAGAGGCAGAACACCUGAGAAUAUCAAUUCUUCAAGUCUCAACGAUCCGAAUCAAACAAGUGCAGGUCGGCUUCUGUCUCUAGCAAAAUCCACGAGUUUCGUGUCCAAGAAAGCAGAAUACAUCGAACCUAUCGUCAGUGUGCCGUUCAAAUCGACUCACCGCUUUUCAGAACAGUUAUCAGAUAGUGACAUCUCUAGGUCAGAAACCUCCGUGCCUAAAAUUCGGUUGGCAACUUAUCCUUCCGAUAGCGAGGAGCCUUAUCGAAAGGAUACGAAAGGCAGCUCUCCUGAAAGGUUACCCGAGAAACCAAUAAAAACUUCGGAGUCGGACUCUCUUAGUUUUAAUGGUCCACCAUCAUCAACAUCCCAGUCCCCCUUUCCUCAAGAAGAAUGUGCGAGUAAACCCCCGGUGCACCCUGCCAGCCCUAUUGUCGGAAUCAGGGUUUCCAGUAAAGAAAGAAUGGAAAGUUUGAGGUACGCGAUGAUGAGAUCAGAAACGCCCGCGAUGGCAUUCAAAAAUAAGUCUUUCGAAAGUUCCUCCGAAGACAUCUCCGACCUCACUUUUGACUUCUCAGGAAAACACUACGUCAUCAACGAAUUCACCGAGAAUCACAUUCCAAAUGCCCGUAAGCCUUUCGAGAGUAUUAAUAACGAGAAACUAAAGGAAGGUGACUCGUUUAGUCCAACAGCCGGAGUGGGUCAAACUCAGUCGCAAAAAAUCAGGAAAUUUGAUUCAGGAGAGCGAGAUUGGUGGGCACGCGACGACACCCAAAGCGAGUCAAUCAGGGGUGCUGAAAGCGAGUCAUUCCGGCAUAGUUCUCGACAUGACUCAACGGAGCCGCCCAAUGAUUCGAGCAAAGAGUUCUCAUACCACGGAGCACAAUCAGAGAGUAUGAGUCCCGACGGUACGAAGUAUACUUCGCAGCAUCAUAUCCGCAAGUUCGACUCGGGAGAGCGUGAUUGGUGGGCGCAAAACGAAGCCCAAAACGAAUCAGGCCGGGACGUUCCAAGCGAGUCUCUUCAAAACGAUCUCCAACACGACUCAUCGAACGACUCGAGUGGAGAGUUCUCAAAUCACGAGGCGCAAUCGAGAAGCGUCAGUCCCGACUACCCAAAACCGACCUCCCAGCAUCAUAUCCGCAAGUUCGAUUCGGGAGAACGAGAAUGGUGGUUGGAAGACGAGAGAAACUCCGGGAGUGUGGAGGGCGCGUUGGACGACGACGAGGCUGUUGAAAACGAGGAGGAGGAAGUAGACUUUUGGGCGGAGUUGGCCGCCGAGAAUGAGAAACACGAAUUGGAACUGCAGCACGCCUAUCAAUUGCGAAACAUGGACGUAGAUUCGUCAUCGUGGUGGAUCGAAGAAAAGACUAAGGACGGUGAUAGGAACGAUCAACCAUCCUCGGGAGUCUCCAGGAGAUCACCUGAAGAGGACGAGGCGAAUGUGGAUGAAUAUUACGACGCCGAGGCAGACAACUCAGCUCAUGAACGAAACGAAGAGAUUUAUAGCUAUUCGAUACGAAAAUUCGACUCGGGCGAAACUCCGUGGUUCGCGGAGCAGGAGAACGACGACCAAACGGACAAGAGACCUGGCUCCGAUAGUUGUCAGGAUCAGAACCAAGUCGAGAGCGGGAUCUGGUCGAUGGAAACGUUCGACUCGAACUCGACAGCCCACCGACCAUCGGAGCAAUUCCUGAUCAGAACCGGUUCGGGCCAUACCCUCUGGUACGCCUCGGACAAAUCCGAGCCCCCCGUGGAAUUGGCCAACAACGAAAGGUUCUUCAAGAUCGGCGAGGGGGAGCGAAUGUGUUGGAUCGACGACAACACGCUGUCCCACACUUAUUCCGGUUCGGCGACGGAACAGCCCUGGUUCCCGGAUAAAACUCUAUCGGAAGAUCAGGUCGAAGGUCCGUAUAAGAUAAAGAGAAUCGACUCGGGCGAGAAGCCGUGGUGGUUGGACGAGGAUGAGAAGACCGACGCGGGGCUCGACGACACCUUGUGCAGCCAUUUUCGAGGCUCCGAGUCUCAGUCGGAGAAUAACGUCACGCGAGCUGAUCUCUCGUCGAAAGCGAGUGACGGAGAGGAAGACCUGGAACCCUUCGGUCGAGUCGCGAGGAGAGUUCCCAACCCCACACUUUUCAUCAGUGAGCUGACCAAUAUCGACCAACUACUCGGAGAUGAGCUGUCCUUCUCCAACCAAUGUCUCGAGCCAACGUUCGCUAAAAUCAAAGACGAUGGUCCGGCUAGUGAGGACGAAGAUGAAAUAGAGGAAGUUACUGCUGAUCAAGUUAAAAUCCAUGACAAUACCCCGCAGACUUAUAUCAUAGAACCCUUCAAAGGCAUUCUCAAGGUAAGAUACUUAUUCAGAACUUCAGAAAUUCUUUUGUAUCACGUUCCUCGAAUUGAUAAAUUAAAUACUUCAUCAGCCUAUGCUUAAUCCACAUGGUGGAAAUAAUGGGAAUCAAUUCCGAAAAAUCACUCCUACUUUUUAGGUCGCAAAAUUAUCUUACCCAUCUAUACGGAGUGACUUUGAGGAAGUUGCGUCCCGUGAAAACGUUUCAAAGUACUGCAGUGCCCCUCGGCACGCAUUCUACAACUUUGACAGGUUUGCAAUUCAAAUUGGAUAUUUUACGCGGAAUGAAACUGGGGGAAAAUGUUGGUUAAUCAGCACAAUAUGGCAACAAUGGAAUGGUGCUUAUGCCGAGUGGUGCACGUGCAUCGUGUACCACAGUCCCCGGAGCAGACAGGACCUAGACUCUUCCCAUUGCGAGAGCUUUGAGUACCUCUAGAAAGCGAGUAUGGGUCUCCUUAGGAUAAAAAAAUGGUGAAAAUUCAAGGCAGAAGCAAAUGAGAGAUUUUUGCCAACCUCUGACGUAUGUCAGCCAAUGCAUCUGUUACCAACCGGUGAAAAAGGAAAGUUCGUUGUUCUAUAUUAUCCCAACUAUUUCAGUUCGUCGAAUAUGCGAACUUUCGGUUUGUCAAACCGAACUCUCACAAUUUUAUCUCAAUAAAAUCGCGUUCGAAAUUUUAUCUCAAUUUACCACGGUUUUUUGUUCGAUAAUAUUGCGUUAAUCGCCGUCGAUGAAAUCGUCUUUUCAUGCUUAAUUUUUUAUCCGAUAUUCACAAUAAAAUCGCGAUACAUUAUCCGAUCUAAUCGCAAAUGGACCACCAGAUAAGGUACAAAUUUCAGCAUUCUGAUACAUGUUUCAUAAUAAGUUCACUUUUAAGUGCCAGCGCAAACGGGACUACCACUUUCAUAUUCGAAUAUUUUAAUUUUUAGUACACCCAUUACAACAUAUUUAAGGGAGAAAGUAGUAGUCGCUUGUGCUCUCACAGUAUCAAUCUAAUUUAGGACCGAAAGUGAGCAAUUAUUCGAGAAAACUGCAAAACUUCACUACUUUGCGCUGGUAAAUCAGGCAAAGACCUUUCAAAAACACCUCAAAUAAGGACAAGUUCUCACAGGGUAGAUGAUUAAGAGUCGAUUUGACCGUACAUGACAUUAUUCUAAGCUGUUUCAAUUUUCGACCAAAGUUAGGGCCAAAAUACCCUCCUUAAUGGGACACAUCCUUUUCAGAAUCUGUAGGUGAAAUUGCGAACAGAAUUAUCUGAUAAAUUGGGAGAAAAAUAUUCAUAAGUUUACCAGGAAAUUCGCGGUUUAUCAAAGGAAAUUUGGCAAUGCCUGGAGGUUCAUACGGCGUUCUUCCUUUGCACGGCAGAAUUGCAAGCAGGACCGGAUUAGCCGGGGUGCUGGGAGUGCUACAGGCCCCCUCGAAGAAAGGUGUUUUAUUCCAAUUUUGUUUUCAAUUUUUUUUUUUUUUUUUUUUUUUUUUUGCGAGCGGUCCAAUCAAAUCUUUUUUGGGGGGGGGGGGCACCUUGAGUCUUGAAGAUUUUAAACGAUUGGAGAGUUCCUAAAAUUAGGAUUUUGGAAGCCAUGGGACCCUUGAAGUUUAGGAUUUAGGGCUCUUAAUGACCUUUUGGAAACUUGAGAUUUCGAGAGCAGGAUUUCUGAGAGCCCUGUACACGACAACGUCUAUGAACUCUUGAGCUCUUGUCUCACCAUUUUUUCUGGUACUUAAGAGCGAUGUUUUUUGGGGUCAGAGAGUAGUUUUUUUAGAGGGAGAGGGGGCGAAAAAGAAUCAAUAAAAUUAAGUGAGGGCGUUAAGGCGUUUGGGACCUUUUGUUUUCUUAGAACGUGCACUGCCUUCAAUUUACAAAGUAUGUAAUCCGGAAUGUGCGGGCUCUUUUACCCGCGAGCAUCGCGUGGCCCCUGAGCGCUAAUCCGGCUCGAUUCCAAACAGUGGCGAGUCGUGAAUGAUCGAUUAUCGAUAUUUCCCCAUUUGAAGCUAUGGCAAAGAAUCGAUUAUUAAGGUGUUCGUUGCGAACGCCCUGUUCGUCGGUCCUUUACAUAGGUUUAAAUGACAGAUCAAUCGAUAUAUCGCCAAGCACGCCACGCUACUGGUGGCGAAACGUGACCAUCGAUAUUUUCUAUUUGAAGCAACGGUAAAGAAUCGAUAGUGCUCCUUGCGAACGCGCCGAUAAAUCGAUUAUUUUCCGUAGAUUCAAGUGGCAGAAGACGAAUCGCUUCAUUGGGGAGCACGACGCGCCACCGAAUGUCACGAUUCACCCGCACACUGCCGUGCUAAGGAAAAACGCCGUAUGAGCCUUCAGACGUUGCCUUUCCUUCGACAAAUCUCGAAUUUUCGGAUAAAUUUGAAAAUAUUAUUCUUCCGAUUUUUAAAAGAAUUUUGGUGGUAAUGGAAA